UUUUAAACCUGAUAGAGCGGAAUAGCCCGGAGCGUAGUGAGGACUAUAAGCGAUAGCAGGACUGCUG
rnacentral:sRNA from 1 species